rnacentral:rRNA from 1 species
GACGAACGCUGGCGGCGUGCUUAACACAUGCAAGUCGAACGGAAAGGCCCUGCUUUUGUGGGGUGCUCGAGUGGCGAACGGGUGAGUAACACGUGAGUAACCUGCCCUUGACUUUGGGAUAACUUCAGGAAACUGGGGCUAAUACCGGAUAGGAUCUCCUGCUGCAUGGUGGGGGUUGGAAAGUUUCGGCGGUUGGGGAUGGACUCGCGGCUUAUCAGCUUGUUGGUGGGGUAGUGGCUUACCAAGGCUUUGACGGGUAGCCGGCCUGAGAGGGUGACCGGGCACAUUGGGACUGAGAUACGGCCCAGACUCCUACGGGAGGCAGCAGUGGGGAAUAUUGCACAAUGGGCGGAAGCCUGAUGCAGCAACGCCGCGUGCGGGAUGACGGCCUUCGGGUUGUAAACCGCUUUCGCCUGUGACGAAGCGUGAGUGACGGUAAUGGGUAAAGAAGCACCGGCUAACUACGUG